rnacentral:rRNA from 1 species
CCUACGGGUGGCAGCAGUGAGGAAUAUUGCUCAAUGGAGGCAACUCUGAACCAGCCAAGUAGCGUGCAGGAUGACGGCUCUCGGGGUUUUAACCUCCUUUUAUAGUGAAGUAUAAUGACGCUCGUUAAGCAGCAAGCCACUGCUAACUACGUACCAGCAGCCGCGGUAAUACGGAGGAUGCACGCGUUGUCCGGAAUUACUGGGUGUAAAGGGAGCGCAGGCGGGAAGACAAGUCAGCUGUGAAAGCUACGGGCUUAACUUGGAGACUGCAGUUGAAACUGGUUUGCUUGAGUGAAGUGGAGGUUGGCGGAAUUCGUGGUGUAGCGGUGAAAUGCGUAGAUAUUCGGAGGAACACCGAUGGCGAAGGCAGCCAACUGGGGUGUAACUGACGCUGAGGCUCGAAAGUGUGGGGAGCAAACAGGAUUAGAUACCCGAGUAGUC